CUGAGUUAGGAACAACAGGGAUUGCCCUAGUAACGGCGAGUGAAGCGGCAACAGCUCAAAUUUGAAAUCUGGCUCUCGGGCCCGAGUUGUAAUUUGUAGAGGAUGCUUUUGAUGCGGUGCCUUCCGAGUUCCCUGGAACGGGACGCCAUAGAGGGUGAGAGCCCCGUCUGGUUGGAUGCCAAAUCUCUGUAAAGCUCCUUCGACGAGUCGAGUAGUUUGGGAAUGCUGCUCUAAAUGGGAGGUAUAUGUCUUCUAAAGCUAAAUACCGGCCAGAGACCGAUAGCGCACAAGUAGAGUGAUCGAAAGAUGAAAAGCACUUUGAAAAGAGAGUUAAAAAGUACGUGAAAUUGUUGAAAGGGAAGCGUUUAUGACCAGACUUGGGCUUGGUUAAUCAUCUGGGGUUCUCCCCAGUGCACUUUUCCAGUCCAGGCCAGCAUCAGUUUUCGCCGGGGGAUAAAGGCUUCGGGAAUGUGGCUCUCUCCGGGGAGUGUUAUAGCCCGUUGCGUAAUACCCUGGCGGGGACUGAGGUUCGCGCAUCUGCAAGGAUGCUGGCGUAAUGGUCAUCAACGACCCGUCUUGAAACACGGACCAAGGAGUCGUCUUCGUAUGCGAGUGUUCGGGUGUCAAACCCCUACGCGUAAUGAAAGUGAACGCAGGUGAGAGCUUCGGCGCAUCAUCGACCGAUCCUGAUGUUCUCGGAUGGAUUUGAGUAAGAGCAUACGGGGCCGGACCCGAAAGAAGGUGAACUAUGCCUGUGUAGGGUGAAGCCAGAGGAAACUCUGGUGGAGGCUCGCAGCGGUUCUGACGUGCAAAUCGAUCGUCAAACAUGGGCAUGGGGGGCGAAAGACUAAUCGAACCUUCUAGUAGCUGGUUUCCGCCGAAGUCCCCCCCUCCAGAAAAA
rnacentral:rRNA from 1 species